GCAGUUCAAGCACUUCAGGUUUUGUAUACUUCACUUAAUAGUCCUUCACAGCUAACCAAUUGGAAAAAUGGUGGUGGUGAUCCAUGUGGAGAGUUAUGGAAAGAGAUUCCUUGUGAAGGCUCAACAGUUGUCACUAUAGAUAUAUCGGAUUUAGGAGUCUCUGGCACUCUUGGAUACUUGCUUCCAGGCUAAUGUCACUAAGAAAAUUGGAUGUUAGUUGUAACACCAUCCAUGAUACACUUCCAUAUCAAUUGCCACUGAAUCACACAAGCAUAUAUCUGUCGAGAAACAACCUAAGUGGUAACCUUCCAUAUUCCAUAUCUGCAAUGGGUUCUCUUUCGUAUAUGUGUGUUUGCUAUUAUAGAACCAUAGAUUGUGAGAACUAGCAUACUUCUUUUUUGCUUAGAAUUAAACUUUGAAAUGUUACUGUCUAGACAUGUAAGUGGCAAUUCACUUUCAAUGUCGACAGGAGAUAUCUUUGCCAAUCAUAAGUCACUUUCAACCUUGUAAGAUCUCUUUAUCAUAGACUUCAUAGUCAUCACUGCCAGUUUCUAGGUAAAGAGAAUACAUUUGGAUGGCUUAUAAAAUAAUCGUUGGGUCAGUCUCAGACAUGAAACUCUAGCAGA